GGGGCAUUAGCUCAGCGGGAGAGCACUUGCCUGGCAGGCAAGGGGUCCGGGGUUCGAAUCCCCGAUGCUCCA
rnacentral:tRNA from 1 species